CCUACGGGUGGCAGCAGUGGGGAAUAUUGCACAAUGGGGGAAACCCUGAUGCAGCGACGCCGCGUGAGUGAAGAAGUAAUUCGUUACGUAAAGCUCUAUCAGCAGGGAAGAAACACUGACUUUAUGGUCAGCAGACGGUACCUGAGUAAGAAGCCCCGGCCAAAUAAGUGCCAGCAGCCGCGGGAAUACGUAGGGGGCAAGCGUUAUCCGGAUUUACUGGGUGCAAAGGGAGCGUAGACGGUGCGCCAAGUCUGGAGUGAAAUGCCGGGGCUUAACUGCGGGACUGCUUUGGAAACUGGCGAACUAGAGUGCGGGAGAGGUAAGCGGAAUUCCUAGUGUAGCGGUGAAAUGCGUAGAUAUUAGGAGGAACACCGGUGGCGAAGGCGGCUUACUGGACCGUAACUGACGUUGAGGCUCGAAAGCGUGGGGAGCAAACAGGAUUAGAUACCCUGGUAGUC
rnacentral:rRNA from 1 species